rnacentral:rRNA from 1 species
UGCACCUGAUUGAUUUUGGUCGCCAACGAGUGGCGGACGGGUGAGUAACACGUAGGUAACCUACCCAGAAGCGGGGGACAACAUUUGGAAACAGAUGCUAAUACCGCAUAACAACGUUGUUCGCAUGAACAACGCUUAAAAGAUGGCUUCUCGCUAUCACUUCUGGAUGGACCUGCGGUGCAUUAGCUUGUUGGUGGGGUAACGGCCUACCAAGGCGAUGAUGCAUAGCCGAGUUGAGAGACUGAUCGGCCACAAUGGGACUGAGACACGGCCCAUACUCCUACGGGAGGCAGCAGUAGGGAAUCUUCCACAAUGGGCGCAAGCCUGAUGGAGCAACACCGCGUGAGUGAAGAAGGGUUUCGGCUCGUAAAGCUCUGUUGUUAAAGAAGAACACGUAUGAGAGUAACUGUUCAUACGUUGACGGUAUUUAACCAGAAAGUCACGGCUAACUACGUGCCAGCAGCCGCGGUAAUACGUAGGUGGCAAGCGUUAUCCGGAUUUAUUGGGCGUAAAGAGAGUGCAGGCGGUUUUCUAAGUCUGAUGUGAAAGCCUUCGGCUUAACCGGAGAAGUGCAUCGGAAACUGGAUAACUUGAGUGCAGAAGAGGGUAGUGGAACUCCAUGUGUAGCGGUGGAAUGCGUAGAUAUAUGGAAGAACACCAGUGGCGAAGGCGGCUACCUGGUCUGCAACUGACGCUGAGACUCGAAAGCAUGGGUAGCGAACAGGAUUAGAUACCCUGGUAGUCCAUGCCGUAAACGAUGAGUGCUAGGUGUUGGAGGGUUUCCGCCCUUCAGUGCCGGAGCUAACGCAUUAAGCACUCCGCCUGGGGAGUACGACCGCAAGGUUGAAACUCAAAGGAAUUGACGGGGGCCCGCAC